GCGAUGGACAAUAGGUUAAUAUUCCUAUACUUGUUUCUAGAAUGAUGGAGUGACAAAGUUUUGUAACCCUUGCUUAUUAUUGAAUUUAAGUUUUCUGCAUGAUUAUCCCAGGUUAGGCAAAUCCUCUCCUGGUCUCUUUAAUGAGGAAUGAAAGUGUAGACGAAAGUGUGGUAGCAAUACUACACAAUAAGGGUGAGCAAGCUUUCGAGAAAAGCUUCUAAGUUUAUCUAGAAAUAAUCCGUACCGCAAUCCGACACAGGUGUUCAGGUCGAAUAGACCAAGGCGAACGAGUGAAUGCUCCUUAAGGAACUCGGCAAAAAAGUAGUCGUAACUUCGGGAUAAGACUUGCCGUGUACUGCAUUUUGUUUGUAAUAAAACUUACGAAAGUAAGUUUACCUAAUUUUGUUUUUCUUAGAAAGGAAAAAACCCAAUCAAAGGAGACUGUUCGAUGCGAAGCUAUCGUUUGGUACUUGAGUGCAGAUGCAGGUUUUACCCUGUCUCAGAAUUCAAUGCAAAUUACGAUUUGCAAAUUGAUGGUAACGGAAUACUUGCUACAGAAGUUCGUCAUAUCUUCUUCAAAGAAGAAAACGAUGAGCUAGCAAAAGAAAAAAUAGAAUCUUUUGUUGAGAAGAAUAUAGUGUCUGCAAUGAUAAUUAAAUAUAACCAUUACAGAUCGCACCGUAUUCCUGACAGCAUCGUCGUCCUCGAACUCCAUGAAAUCACAUCAGGAAUAAAUCUGGCAAACCGCAGGCGUAAUGCAUAUCGCCGUGGUAGCUACUAGUGUAGAUAAAAAAUAUUCUACACUCCUUUCUAAGGAAAACAAAUUAGACAAAUAUUAUUAAUAAAAUGCAGUACACGGCCGCAGAUAAUUUUUUCCUGCCAACUGUUUACCAAAAACACAGCUCCGUGCGAAAUCGUAAGAUGAUGUAUACGGGGUGACGCCUGACCAAUGCCAGAAGGUCAAAUAUUGGUGGUCUCACGCAGUACUUUAUUUUAAUUUAUUAAAUAUAGAGUACUGCGUGAGGCUGUCCGAUAUAAGCCCUGGUGAAUGUCGGCCGUAACUAUAACGGUCCUAAGGUUUUGCAUAUUAGCCGCAUUUGUGGUUAGUAUGCAGAAUGACUGGGACCGCGUAUAGAAAAAGGUAAUUCAGUUAUUUAAAUUUAAAUUCAUUACACAUAAUAGCUACUUUACCCAUUAGAAAUAAUGGAAAUAGUCAAUUGUUGCUAACUAGAGACCAGCGCAACACACCUGACUCUUCGUAAGAAGAAAGGUGAAGAUAGAGUCCGUAUUAGAGGAACAUAUGAGCGAAGUUCCUUGUCUGGUAAGUUCAGACGCGCACGAAUGGCGGAAUGAGUGGGAAACUGUCUCGAGGAGCAGCUCGGUGAAAAUACAAUACCGGUGAAGAUGCCGGUUACCUGCAGGUAGACGAAAAGACCCCAGAAGCUUUACUACAGCUUGGUAUUGACUUAGUUCGAUUGAUGCGUAGCGUAGCCGUGAGCCUUUGAAGCUAUCCUCUCGGGGAUAGUGGAGGCGCCAAUGAAACAGCGGUCUUCAAUUGGGCUAAGUCUAAUGUGUGCGGAAAAACCGUCAUGCAGACAGUAUCUGGUGGGUAGUUUGACUGGGGCGGUAUCCUCCUAAAAAGUAGCGGAGGAGUUCAAAGGUCAGUUAGCAACGAAUGGAAACCGUUGCGAUAGUGUAAGAGCAGAAACUGGCUUAACUGUAAGACGGGCAUGUCAAGCAGAUACGAAAGUAGAAUCUAGUGAACCGACGUUUUGCUUUAGAAGCAGACGAAGAUUAACGGAUAAAAGUUACUCUGGGGAUAACAGGCUAGUUGCGCCUAAGCGUCCAUAGCGACGGCGCAGUUCGGCACCUCGAUGUCGACUCAUCUUAUCCUGGUGGUGGAGAAGCUACCAAGGGUUCGGCUGUUCGCCGAUUAAAAAGGUACGUGAGUUGGGUUCAAACCGUCGUGAGACAGGUUGGUCUCCUAUCUCCUGCAGGCGUUGACUUUUGAGUGGACUUGCCCCUAGUACGAGAGGACCGGGGUGAACUGACCUCUGGUGUAUUGGCUG
rnacentral:rRNA from 1 species